rnacentral:rRNA from 1 species
UGAGGAAUAUUGGACAAUGGUCGGAAGACUGAUCCAGCCAUGCCGCGUGCAGGAAGACGGCCUUAUGGGUUGUAAACUGCUUUUGCAGGGGAAGAAUAAGGACUACGCGUAGUUUGAUGACGGUACUCUGCGAAUAAGCAUCGGCUAACUCCGUGCCAGCAGCCGCGGUAAUACGGAGGAUGCGAGCGUUAUCCGGAAUCAUUGGGUUUAAAGGGUCCGUAGGCGGGCUAAUAAGUCAGAGGUGAAAGUGCUCAGCUCAACUGAGCAACUGCCUUUGAAACUGUUAGUCUUGAAUGGUUGUGAAGUAGUUGGAAUGUGUAGUGUAGCGGUGAAAUGCUUAGAUAUUACACAGAACACCGAUAGCGAAGGCAUAUUACUAACAAUUAAUUGACGCUGAUGGACGAAAGCGUGGGGAGCGAACAGGAUUAGAUACCCUGGUAGUCCACGCUGUAAACGAUGGAUACUAGCUGUUUGGAUGAAAGUUUGAGUGGCUAAGCGAAAGUGAUAAGUAUCCCACCUGGGGAGUACGCACGCAAGUGUG